CUUUUGUUUAAUCUCAGUGAUUGAACUUUUGGAUCGCUGUACAACACGAUGAACGUGAGCCGGCCUUCGGUGCAUCCGGUCGAGGCGCCACCACUUACGGAAGGAGCGGUACACAAUGGGCCGAGGGUGAGAAUGAAGGAUGUACAGGGCAUGCCUGGAACACUAGGUGGACUUGCUCUUCGUCUCCUUCAGUUCAUAUUUGCUGCAGUUUCUCUCUGUGUUAUGGCCACCACCAGUGAUUUUCCCUCCGUCACGGCGUUUCGAUAUCUUGUUGCUGCUGUUGGCUUGCAAUGCUUGUGGAGCUUUUCAUUGGCAGUA
rnacentral:misc_RNA from 1 species